GCCUGAGUGGUGAAAUCGGUAGACACAAGGGAUUUAAAAUCCCUCGACGUUCGCGUCGUGCCGGCUCGAUUCCGGCCCCAGGCACCA
rnacentral:tRNA from 1 species